rnacentral:rRNA from 1 species
GGAGUUAGCCGGUGCUUCUUCUGUGAGUGAUGUCCUUCCUGCCGGCUAUUAACCCGCAGGCCUUCUUCCUCACUGAAAGUGCUUUACAACCCGAAGGCCUUCUUCACACACGCGGCAUGGCUGGAUCAGGGUUGCCCCCAUUGUCCAAUAUUCCCCACUGCUUCCUCCCGUAGGAGUCUGGGCCGUGUCUCAGUCCCAGUGUGGCUGAUCAUCCUCUCAGACCAGCUACGGAUCGUCGCCUUGGUUAGCCGUUACCUCACCAACCAGCUAAUCCGACAUAGGCUCAUCCGAUAGCGCGAGGCCCGAAGGUCCCCCGCUUUCCCCCGUAGGGCGUAUGCGGUAUUAGCCUGGGUUUCCCCAGGUUAUCCCCCACUACCGGGCAGAUUCCUAUGCAUUACUCACCCGUCCGCCGCUCGCCACCAGGGAGCAAGCUCCCCGUGCUGCCGCUCGACUUGCAUGUGUUAGGCCUGCCGCCAGCGUUCAAUCUGAGCAGANACAACACUGA